GAAUGUUCUCCCACUCCAUCCACAGAGGUAAAGUUAAUAUUCAUUUCUCUCCUUUAAGUUAUCAGAUUUUCUAUGCCCCUGUCAACUGGGAUGGAGUCAGAGGACGUUCCAGAGACAACGGUAAACAAAUGGAGCAGAUCUAAAAGGUGGAUGUCACAGAAUGUUCAGAGUGCUUCUACUUCUUGAUGAUCAUGAAGAUUACUGCAAGCAACUUGAGAAUGAAGACACCAUGACAAAGUGGUGACUUUAAUCAUCUCCCCCAAACCACAGCCUGGAAAUCAACUCCCUGUUGGUGGAAAUCAGACUCAACUAUAUGUCCCAAAGAUGCAAGCAGCAAUGUCUCCAGAGAACUUCAUGUAUCUUUCUCCCUCUGGUAUGACUUCUAAGUCUAAUGACUGAAUUUUAGUAGGUGACACAGCCACUGAGCUUGGUGGUGAUGUCCCCCCUAUACUUUCCAUCUCAAGAAAGGGGUGGUUUCAUGUUUUUCCUCCUAGGAUUUCCCUAAUGCCUUGCUCCAAAUCGGCCUUUCAGAUAUACUAAUCUCUGUAGAGUAGUCUCUUGCAUUGAGUUCUCUGUUAAGGGACUCAAUGGAAAGAUUCUAAUCUAUUCUAGAAACCAAAUUUCUUUUUGAAUUUUGCUGCUUUUGUUCCAUCAGUCAAAAGCAGAAAUUUACAAACUAAGGUUAUAGGAAAAAAUGAGACCCAAAGUUUCCAAAGUUUACCUUUUUUAUUAAAACCUAGUCAUAACUAUUUAAUUGUUUGAGCAGUUCAGCUAGGAACUUAACCCAUGUAGCACUGAUAGUCUAAUUCUCACAAGCACAGACUCUGAGCCCCACCUUUGAGGGAGGUCCUCAGAACACAUCUAUUCAAGCCGUAGCAUGGAGGACAAAUGCAAAGAGAAGACUUGUUCCCUCACAUGGACCAACAGCAACAAUCCUGUAGACCUAACUUCUAUCUGGUAGUCACACUUAGCUGCCAGGGACCCUACGGGAUUUCUGUUUAUUUUGUGAAGUGGUGGACUCAGCCAAUAAAAUGGUGUUAUCACUUGGUGAGCCACUAAGAAUUGCAACUUGAAAGAGAAGAGCUAAGCAACCUUCAUUCUAAUUCAAGCAAGAGGAACAAGGACACUCAAUGCCUUGCAUGUCUGGGAGGCUAAACAAAUGUUGUUAUUAAAAACUGACAGUGAUCCCUUUAAAAGUCAGCACCUGACACUGUUUUCUUGAGCCCUGACAUUUUAUGAUUGUACACAGUGCUACUAUGAGCUGUUUACAGAAUUCUGAUUGCUUCAAAAUUAUACUGGCAUCAUAGCUGUGAAGCUCAAGCCAGUAAAAUCCCAAAGCCUUCGUAACACUAGGAAAAAUCUUCUAGAAAUAGCUCUACUUCAGACAGCAGUGAACUUAUGACACUUACCCAAGCUCUUGGCCUGAGAAGACCUUUAAUAUCCUGGAUUGCAUAGCAUUAAUAUCUUUUCCUAGGAGCCCACUAACGUUAAAAAUUAUUUUCCCACUAUAAGCCAACCAUUGCUAGAAUUAUUUGGAAAAUAUAUGGCUAUAAGAAAUCUGAUUAUAUUAUAUUAAUAGAAAUAGCCAAGCAUUUUGAGUAAUUUUUCCUUCCCCUUUCAGACACCUCUCUUUUUAUUCAUAAUUAUAGUCAGAGUCUCCAAAUAUUCAUAAAAGCUGGAUACAAGUAAUAUUACCAUGAGAGUCAUUUACAAUCUGCAGUAAGACACUCUUUUAAUUCUAGGAUGCUUGAGUUUCCAGACUCUGAGAUUUCUCUUUAAAGUGCUGUAGCCAUGUCCUAGAAAGCAGACACAGGCUGACUUUUAAGAGAACAGCUGCAUAAUCACUCCUCUCCUUCCAAUUCCGUUUCCUGUCCAACAUAAAACUAGAAUUACCCAUACCUACAUGACCAUUGAAACUUUUAUUCAAGAGAGAAAGCAGCACAGUGACAUUUUCAGCCUAAAUCUGAAGGUACAGUUAGUCCUUUCUGAUCUGUGAGGGCAACUGCACAGUAAUGUCUCUGUUCUGGAAACUUGAAAAUAUUCUAAAUUGGUUGGUUUCCUGGGGUCAUUCUUUAUCUCUACAGUCCCUGUGCCUUCUUCUUCUGAGGCCACGUAGCACUCAUUGUAGGACAUCUCAGUAGGCACUGGCAUGCUGAGUGACUAGAUUCCACAGCUAAAGAGCUGUGAAGGGCUCUCCAGUCUCCUCAGGGCUCCUACUGAAUGUACACAAAAACAGUUGGAGUGGAAAUAGACUCCUUAGUCUUACCAGAGGAUGACAUAACUAGACAAGGCCUGGCAUGCUACACCCCAUGAAUGAAGCAACCUUGCCUUUGUCUUUCCCAGACACUCCUAAUGCAUUUUUCACAUAGGUUGGUAUCUUAGAAUGAAAUAACAUUUUCAACUACAGUCGUCCUUCUCUUCUGGUUAUGCUUUAGUAAAUAUAACUUGUAUGGUCAUCAUAUGUGGUGGUUUGAAAGAAAAUGGCCCCAAAGGGCAUGACACUAUUAGGAGGUGUGGUCUUGUUGGGGGAAGUGUCACUGUGGGGGUGGGCUUUGAGGUCUCCUUUAUUCAAGCCUCCCUCAGUGUGACUCUAAAAUCACUUUCUGAUGCUGCAAGUCAAGGCUUACUUGUCUACUUCUCCAGCACUAUGUCUGCCUUCACACCACCAUGUCACACCAUGAUGAGAGUAGACUGAAACUCUGAAAAAUGCUGCCACCUCAAUUAAAUGCUUUCCUUUGUAAGUUUGGCAUGGUUAUGGUGUCUCUUCACCACAAUAGAAACCUUAACUAAGACACUAUAGGAGGACAGAUAAUCAGCAUUGUAGUAUACUCCUAUCAAUACAGAAGGGUAUAUUCAGCAGUUCUUGAACAACAGGACUUUUUCAGGUAGAAGAAAAAAUGUAUAGCAGUCAAUAUGAGCAUUAACUACUUUCUUAAUUGCUGAAAAACCCAACAUAAAGGUUAGAGGACAAAUAACAACAACAGAAACUUAAAGCAUAUCUUAAUAUGUACUUCAAUAAGAAUGGGUGGAAGGAAGGGCUAUGUGUCAGAACACUACUCUCUGUUGAAUACCUACUGAAUUGUAGAUAGACAGUACUCUAGAAAUGAGUUCAUGAUCAUUCUGUCUCUUUGCGCUUGACAGCAACAUACUGUUUCCAAGAUGAGGAAGAUGAAGCAGCUUGCUAAGCUACCUUAGCUAAUAAGUGAAUAACCUGCAGGUAAAGCAUGUUAGCCAUAUAGGAGAAGUAUCUGGCUAGGGAGGGGCAGGAAGGAAUGUGAAGGCUGACCUUAAUGUGAUUUAGGAAUUAGAGGCUUUGAACAAAUAUCUGAUUAUCAUGUCAAGCUAUAAUGGUAUGAUGAACCUCACAGGCUGAGGGGAUAUGAAGCUGGAAAAGGUUCCCAUUGGGGAACCACUUCACCUCCAUCUGCAUUGCACAUAGGCUGGGUACCUGAUAUAGCUCUCAUUUGGUAAUGAAUUGACUGUUCACCAAAGAAAAAUGGAUAAUGAAACUUGAAGUUGAAGCCACAUGGUCUCAAUUCAAAACAAGAACUCAGAGUUUGAGAAGACAACAUGACGUUAUCAAAGACCAUAGUCCUAGAGAAGACAGCUAGGCAUCAAUCAAAUGAGCCUCAUCCAAAGGGUUGAAAGAAGAUAAAAGAUCAAUGACAGCAGGCUUGUAGUCAGUUUAACUAUGCACCAUCUUUUAGACAAAUGGCAUUCAUGUGGAUACUACUCUGUUCGUUCAUAAUCAACUACAGUGUGAACAAGCACAUGUGCUUAUGUUCCCCAUUCUGCACAGAUCGUAUCCCCUGUUAACUACCUUGAACAAGGAAUGUAUCAUCUGAGAAUGCCUGUCCUCUGGUUUUACCAAACUAGAAUAUAUCUUUGUUUCUCAACUUAGAAAUCUAAACUCUGUCUCUAACUGUGCUAGGAAGGUGUGGGGGGCUAUGUGUUAGAUAUAUGCACACAUGUGUGAGCAUGCAGGGGUCAGAGGGUAUCCUGCUCUACCCCUCUCUACCUUAUAACCUUGAGACAGGGUUUCUCACUGAGCUCAGGUUCUCUUGUACAGCAAGUAUUCUUACCCACCAAUUCAUUUCCUCAGUCCCAAGAUUUAAAUGAAAGGAUAAAUGUUAACCUCAAAUGAGCAUCAUUCUAGUCUCACAGCAUUAGACAAAUUGCCUAACCUGUCUGGACCUCAAAGUCUGAAUCAUUUAAAAUGAGUGGCUGUUCUUGUAGAGAAGAAAAAUUAAUAAGUUUCUGAUGUUCUGGGCUACUACUCUCAAUUGCUUUGGGGAAAAAAAUACUAUGUGUGAGGCUGUAAAUGUGUGCAUUGUGUUAGUAAGACGUGUUCCCUACAAUUGAAAUCAAAUUUGCUCUUCCAUAAUCUAUAGGGUAUUAUUUUGAAGAAUAUCUUGGAAUGUGAUCAGAAACUUAGAAUUUUGAUGUACCACUAUUUUAAAUUUAACAUUUUACCUUUACAAAUACAUUAAUUAAAGAUGCUGUUCUCAAAGUAAAAAUAAUAAAAUAAGUUGUCCCACAUAACACCAAAAUGCAAGAUUUUAAGUAAGUAUAUGUAAAAAUGCUUAACCCUUACAAAAUGUCAAUUUUAUUUGUUCUUAUUACUUCUGAACUUUUAGAGAAUUGACUGAGUUUCUACUUAAAAAACAAGUACACUUCCAAAAAGCAGGAUUCUCUCUGACAGGAACAUACUAACAAGCAAUGAUUUUACUCCCAGAGUGCAGGUACAUGCCUGUAUUUUCCAUAAGAUACGAGUAGAGAAAUUUGCUCUGUCUGCUGUUUGUACUUGUUGAAAAAUAACAAAGAAGCAGAUGGGUGUCAUCCAUAAGUAAUGCCGAUCACAAGUGAGCACUCUUCAAAGGACCUUCUAAUCAGUGUAAACAUAAAUCAGAGCAGCUAGGUGCAAAGGUGGAGUUACACCAGCAAGGGCCCAGGUGACCUCUAAAGAGGCACUGGAUACAGUCUUCCCUCAAGUGUUUUCACUUUCAGACAAAAUUCGACAUCACAGUGAGGCCUCAAAGGCUUAUUUACAAAAUUCUUUUAAUGGCACCUACACUCUAUAACCAUAGACAAGAUUAUGAGUACUUGAAUAUUGCCUAGCACCAUGCUUUGUGUCCACAGUAUUGGCUCUCUUGCCUCUCAAUAAAAUUCAAGAGUUGCUCAGUUUAUGAGCUAUAUAAGCUCACAGGGCCCAAUGAGCUCGUGUCUUCGGUUUUUGCUUAGCCUCAGGUGUUUGGUGUAUAGGUUGUUUACCUGAAAUUUAUCAUUUGCAUAGUGGGAAAAUAAAUGUCACUGCUUUUGAGAAAUAUGUUAAAACUAUGAGGAACUGGCCAGCCAUCACAGAUUCAGUAUUGCUGAGUGCCCACUGUGACAACACAGGCAUGCACUAAGUUCAGCAGGACUGUAAUGGUCACUCAAGGCAUCUCUGCCCUUUGCCUUUUAUUUUUCUUGAAUUCUCAUGGGGGAAAAUGUAAAAAAAAAAACCUAACCCCUCGAAUCUUUAUAUCUUUUAUUGUGGGUGCUAAAUGGUCUUUUUUUUUUUUUUCUGUGUAGAUAUGAAAAAGAUAUGGUCUCGCUUCUGGUGAGAUUUGCUCUGUGGGAGAGGAGCUGAAAUAACAUUCUGAACGCAAAUAGACUACAAAUAACUUGAGCCCUUUGAAAUCACUCUUUCGAUAUUGAUUCACUCCAAGGAUGAAAGCCAGCUCUAGGCAGAACCAGACCUGUGGAUGCAGAAUUCGUGGGAAGCCUGAGAUCUCUGGGAAACUCAAGCUUCCACAGGCACUUAGCAGAAUGCCCACGAGCUAGGCAUACUUUAGCUUCAUGCUAGCCCUUGAAAGGUUUUCAAUUUAUUCUGGACAGAGUGCCUCUCAUUUUCAGAUGACAAGUUUGGGAAAGAGGAUGAAAUAAUUACUACCUUAGCUGUGAUUAGUUGCUUUAUAUGUUUCACAUCUUAACUAAACAUGUUUGUAUUUGAAGCUUACACACACACACUGAGAUGGUGUCUUUGUUUAAGUGGAUUGGCUCCUGUUAACAAGGAGAAACAGAGUGUGAACUUCUCAGAGAGCUGCCAGUAGGAGCCCCUCUGUAGAACCAGGAUGUGGUCAGCUGUUCAUUGACACCUACUCAACACCACUGCAACUUGUCCCACCGCUUCUAAGGUAAAGGUAGAAACACAGCAGACACCAGUGUCAGGAUGGGUAAUAACUCAUGCUAGAAACACAUGACAGAAACUGAUGCUGGAAUACAUGGCACUGACAGAGAAGAAGUCCAAGUUGGAGCAAGUGAUAAAAUGAAGUAGUACAUUAUGAUUCCGUUUAGAAAAACAUUUCUAUGCUCCAAACGUGUUUGCAAGGAUGAAUGAAGGAUGCCCCCCCGCCAAAAAAAAAAGAAAAAAAAUUAACUGCACACGUGAUCUCCUCCGGUGUGAAAAGGUGCUAGAAUGCUUGACAGUUAGCAGCUUCACUGUCUGUCAAAUGAUGGAAUAAGAGCAUCAUCUCCCUGGUGGUCCAGUGCUCCCCCAUUAUCACACACCACAGUCUUAGUCAAGGUGCCUCGUAGUUCCUCUCAGUGUGUUUUUCAAAGAAUGACAAGAUUUUAAAUAAAUCAAACUGUUAUCAAGCUAGACUGGGUACCUGGAGUAUUCACACCCGCUGAAUCUCCUGUACUUUGCCACUACCCUAAAAAUGAUACAGUCAUAUGAAAAGUAGUAUCUUUUCUGCAUAAAUUCUGGAGGUGCAGAAGAACUGAAUAUGCACAGGUUCCACGAAAAGCAGAAACUGAGACUUUCUCAUGGCAAAACUGGGAUUUUCAUGCCACUUUACAUGAUUGUAAUGAGGGCUCAGCAAGUGUGCCCAGAUCACCCAUGCAGCACCUAUGUCUAGGUUCAGGUUAUACAGAAUUUAAAUCUGAAUCCAACAUGAUUUACAUUCAGGCUCAAUCAUACGAAGGCACAUAUUUAUGGAGGAAAAGGACCUCAGCCAAAACUCUGCUUAUCAAGGCAAAAACAUAGGAAGGACAUGUAGUAAUAAUUUGCCAUCUUCGUAAGAAAGCUCUCCCCUUAGGAAUUGCAUGACCCCCACCUCAGUCCUCAUUGGCCACAGCAAUGUGUCCUCCCUCCUCUUUCCUCAUCUGUUCCUUAGGCUGUAUGAGAGAGUCUUCUCUAAAAUUCAUUAACCUGGGAUGUCUUUAAUGAACUGUGCAAAGCAGACUAACUCCCACUUUUGGAAGCUCACAAUACUGGUACUUUAUUCUCCAAGGCAAAGACAAGAAUUAUAGUUUUUUUUUCUUUUUCCUUUUCCCUCCAACUGUCCAGCCCUGAAUGAGACGUGAAAGCCAGUGUCCCAAAUGAGCAGAACUAGCAUGGAUGACUUUGGGUUGAUGAUGGACAGAAUGGGACAGACAGCCUUUCUUCUUCCAGAUGCUGCCACUGACAUGGGUCUAGCAGCAGUGAUCUUGCCUAGCAUAUGGCAUAUUGCAAGCAGAUUUGGGGUCAUACAGGACAGAAAGCAAAUUAGUCACUUUGUUUGCAAAUCUAUCCUAGUCAUUGUUUUCUGGUGUGAUCUCCCAUCAUGAACUGAAGCCUCCUGAAAAUUGUCUAAGCCAUCUGACAUCCAAAAAUGUUUCUGUUCUGCUGAGAUGAAGCAGAGCUAAGUGUUACAGCUCAUGCAGGCGACUGUUUCUUGUAAAUUUUAUAAAAGUAGAUUUAUGUUAAAAACUCAGAAAAGACAGUUCAUAAAGGCAGAAAUCAGCUAGGGGUUACUGGGUAAAAAGAAGACAAAACAGUAGCUACAGUUAAUGGGCACUAGUUCUUUCUAGGGAUGAAAUAUAUAUGUUAACUUCAAUUGACCGAUAAUUGUACACAUCUAUGGAAACCCUGCUAUUUUCCAUAUGUAAUAACUGAAUAUGGGUAAUUAACAUGCCUGUCACUUCAAACAUUUAUUAUCUCUGCAUUGGUGGCAAGCAUAAUUACUUCUACUUGGCCAUUUUGAGAUAUAUAAGUUGUAUCAGUCCAUUGUAGUUAUCGUGGGUGAUCAGGAGUUAAAAGUUGUUUCUUCUAACCAAAUGAGCUACUAUGUCUAUCCUAUAGACAGCAUGCUCUCACUUCCUCAACCUUCCAAGUCUCGGGUAACUGCCACUCUAGUCUCCCAUUCUACACAGUCAAUUUAUUCAUCUUCUAUGAAACAUUCAGUCUUUCAUUACCUGUCAUAUCUUAAUUCAUACAGUAUCUACCUAGCUCAUCAGCUGAUCCUGGUUGUUGCUCAUGAAAGAAUUUCAUUCUUUGUUAUUGAUUAAUAGUAUUUCAGUGUGUGUGUGUGUGUGUGUGUGUGUGUGUGUGUGUGUGUGUGUAUUUCCUUUAUCCAUUUAUUAGUUGAUGGAUCCUGUUUGAUUCCAUUCCUGAACUAUCAUGCAUAGAGCUGUAAAGAAUGUGGGAGCACAAAAGUCUCUUCAACAUCCAAUUUUCAUACCUUUGAAUAUAUUCUCACUAGUGGGAAUACUGGUUCAUAUGAUAGAUUUGUCUCUGGGUUUUGAAGAAUCCCCAUAUUGUUCUCAGUAAAGCCAACACCCGAUCUACAUUCUCUUGCUGCAAUGCACAAAAAGGCAGAGAGAUGACAUUGCUCAAUAUUGCAUGCUUCCAAGUCCUAGAAUAGUUUCCAAACAUAAUAUUUUGAAAACUUAACAUAAGUCAGUGAUCAGUCGCCAAGUUCUUAUUUUAUUGUUCUUUGACCACAUAUCAACCAAAUGACUCAGGGUACUAUACCUGUUCUCUUUAUGUGUUUCCCAAAUUAACCAAUAGUAGAAAAUAGUUUAGAAGUUCUUAGUAAUGUUAGCCAUUUGCUUAAAACUGUGACUCUUUCAGAAAAAAAAUUCUAUCUACUUCAUAGCAUUAUGCCAAGCCCUCUCUUCAUUUCUCCUACCACUUGUUAUGGUUUCUGCUUCUCUUCACCUGACUCUUAGGAGGCAGCUGCAGAAAAGGAGAAGGUACCUACUUAGUCAUGUGGACACAAUGUGAUAAGAACAUAGACCUCUUCCUUCUUGUCUGAGUCUCACGCAAGAGCUGUCUCAGAGCAGCUGGUGUUCUCUACACAUGUAUGCUCAUUUUCUGGCAGUGGCUCCAUCAUAUGGCAUGUUAGAUGGUGUCAAGCACCCAAAUAGGUUAUGAGAGUGGGCUCCAGUAAUUAGCACCCUCAGUCUGUUUGACCCUAGUCUCUGUACCCCCUGAAGAUCAGGAAGGCCUUUUAUCACUCACACACACUCAGUCAGACCCUGAUACAGCAGUGCUAAGAAGGGCAGCCAACCUUUCCUAUGAAUCAGCAGACUUUGUAAUCCUCAAGAUGCUGAAAGUCCAAGUCAGCUCUACCCAGGAUACAUAUCUGGGUUUUUGUCUCAGCCCACCUAAUUGCAUAUCUGUGCCAUCUUUCAGGCCUAGGAAGUUCUAAUGCCCACAAUUUCUAAAAGAGACCUGCAGCAUUCAUCAUUUUUGCUGAGGAUCCUGGUUGACCCUCCCAGAAGAGUGUCUAAGUCCCCUUGCUUCUGAUUCUGCAGCUGGAAUCAAGUAGGAAGUGGGAAGUGGUUCUUAGUGUGACUUCUGCACCGAUAAUAUCUUCAUCAUCUAACACUGGUUUGAAACACAAACCAUGGACACUGCAGAGACAUACAAAACAAGAUUCUUAACAGUAUCCCAGCAGACACCAUUAUAAUCAACCUGGCCAGCAGUGUAGCCAUUCUCUAAGAUUUGAGAACCUCAAACCUAAUUUUUCAUCAAUCUCUUCUCUAGUUAGUGCCUGUCCCACAACAGACAUCUGUUUCUUCCAAUAUAGCCUCUUAUCCAAGUUCCACCCUGCCUAUGUGAAGAAUUACUUUGCCCCUUAAUGUCAAUAGCUUGGUCUUAGAAAUUUGACUGGGUAAGGCAGGAGUCAAGAAAUGACAGACACUGAAAAAAAUGACAGUUUACAUACAGCAAACCUGGGAUCAGCUGGGCUAUGCUCACUCUUAAAGAGGGCACUUACCAGGAAACCGUUGUGUUUAAUAUGUCCAGUACAAAGAGGAAGGGUAGUCAGUCUCUUAGUGGGAGGUCUCUGAAGGGGAACAGACUUGGAUGGUAGCCAUACAGGAAUAGGAAGAUGCUAGCAUCCAACAGUCUCUAUAUACACUGGUCAGUCACUCAUAAACACACAUACUUGGACCAGAGGAAGGCUUUGCCAUCUGUCAUGCCUCUGACCCUCAACCAGAAAAUGCUUGUCCGAGUCAUGGGGCUAAAGCGUUGGGGUCCUUGCUCAUGUCAAUAGUACACAUUCAUUCAGGGCUUCAUCUGCUUAUCAAGACUUGAAUCUUGGUAAUUAGAAAGGAUAGACCUUGGAUUAGGUCUGAUUUGAACUUGAUCAUGUACAUUACUCAGUACCUGUAUGCAUGCAGUAUACCUAUUCCCACAUGUACGUGUCUACAUACUGUACACAUGUUAAAGUGACAGAUAAUAGAGAAGCAAGGCUCAUUGUCUCAAGCUACUAUCACAAAUUACUUUUCUGUCCUCCCAAUUGCAUCUGAGAAGUCUCACCUUUACUGCUUUUGUUCUUUAACUUGAUCCAUACCAUUUUAUUGGAAACUACCUGGAUAUUCCACAAGUUAUCUGAGCUCCAAGAGACCUCAAGAGAACCUAAACAGAGCUCCCUUCCUCCCAUCACCUCUUGGAUUCUGUGUGACACCCUAUCCUUCCUGUUGGAGACUUGGGUAUAUAUAAAUGGGUAAUGAUAAAGGAGGUGAGCACAUAAGACUGGUAAAGACUCAUUGCUAUAUUUAUCCCAGAAAGCUUCCAGGGGACAAGCAUCUCUGAGCCUCAUGGAGAAGCUGUUACCUGGGCCCUUUGCCUUCCCUGCAGAUAUAGCUCCUUUCAAAAAGUCUGCUACAGGAGAACGGAGUGUGACUUUGCUGCAUUUCAUAGUGAAAUAGAGAAGCACAAAGAAUGGGUAUUUGGUUUAAUCAUUCAUGAUGAAACUGGAGCUUUAAUGUGGCUAACAGAAUGUCAGCAAGCAUUAAGUCCUGAGAGCCCUUAGGCUGGGGUUGGUUAGUGCCCUUGGUAAUCUCCUAGGGCUUUUCAAGCACCAAAAAAACUAAUUUAAAUUGCAACAUGAUUCAAGAGGUAGAAACAGAAAGUUGAAAUAAGCCUUUUGGAUCUUGUAACUGCACAAAACCAUUGUACGUGAAAAGUACAGAGAAAAACAAUUGGAAUCAUUUCAGGCUUUGAAAACUUAUAAUUACAGGUAAAUGGCUAUUAUGUUAUUGGAAUAGCCAUUAUAACUGAAAGGUACAAUUUGGGAUAAUAUAUGUGGGGACAUUAAUACACCAUCAGAAUUUUACAGCACAAGCAUCACAAUGCAUCCAAUUUCAAAUUAGAGGUUACUUCCCUGGUUUUUUUCUUGAUUCUCUGCUUCUAUUUUUAAGUAGAGCAUUCAUGUGAAAUAAUGACAUCAUUUCAAAAAAUCAUAAUAAUUUUUGGCUAUGCACUAUUCACUAUCAUUUAAAAGUCUUCAGGUCUUUAACACUAUAGGAAAAUAACAAAAGUCAAAAUUACCCAUCAGUACAUUCUCCACAUGACUGUCACCUCUAAGUUACUUAAGCUAAUGGAACAGCACAAGCAACAUAGACUAUCCAGGCUGAAUAAAAUCUAAAAAUCAACUUUAUUUACAUUUAGAAUUUGCAUUUAAAUGCAAAUGCAUUUGAUACUUUGGACGUCUGCUGAAACUGGAUUAAGCUUCUCAGCAAGGGUGAGAAAACAUGAACAAAAUAGGAAAACAUGAGCCAUAUAAAGGGCCAACAAAAUAUUGUCUGGACCAUCAGUUGGUUGUUUGAUGAAAUCUUUAGCAACCUUGACCUCUACAUGACUGAAAGUUCUAGCUACCAUGACAUUGUCUCAAAGACAAUCAGAAUGGAAGAAAAGAAAGAGAGAGAGAUAGGUGGAGUUCCACCAGGAACUAAAUCCACCUGUGAAACAGGCCACCUAACCACGGGGCUGCUUUCCUUUGCCACACAUGCUGCACAGAUGCCACAUGAUUGAAGACUCAGCAGAAGAUCUUGAAGUCCAUGUGUUCUCCCUAUAGAGACUUUUUUGGGGUUUCCUAGCCCUCCUCAGCUACCUCAGAAUCUACAGCUAUGUAGACACUUGUCCUACCUUGGAAGUAACUGAAAAAUGAAUAACAGCAAUUCAGCAUUUGCUUGAAGUUUUAUUUUGAGCUGGGGUUAAUUCUGGGUCAAGUUGCAAGUUGUUUGUUCCUUUAGCAAGCUCACUUUCUAGAUGAAGAAAUUUCAACUCAGCUCAGUGCUUCACUGUUAGAACUCUCCAGGAAGUUUUAGUUAUAUCAUUCAACAUGGCUGCAGAUUGUGGUGAUAUUGUGUCCCUCAAUAUAUUAUGCACCCUAAUAAACUUAUCUGGGGUCAGAGGACAGAACAGCCACUAGAUAGACAUAGAAGCCAGAAAAUGGUGGCACACACACGUUUAAUCCUAGCAUUCCCGAGGCAGAGUUCCAUCCAGAUUUCUGUGAGUUCAAAGCUACACUGGAAACAGCCAGGCAUGUUUACACAUGCCUUUAUUUAUUUAUUUAUUUUUUUUUUGAGACAGGGUUUCUCUGUGUAGCUUUGCGCCUUUCCUGGAACUCACUUGGUAGUCCAGGCUGGCCUCGAACUCACAGAGAUCCACCUGGCUCUGCCUCCGGAGUGCUGGGAUUAAAGGCGUGUGCCACCACCGCCCGGCUACACAUGCCUUUAAUCCCAGAAAGUGAUGGCAGGAAGCAGAAAGGUAUAUAAGGUGUGAGGACCAGGAACUAGAGUCUUUUUAAGCUUUUAGCUUUUAGCAACAGUUUAACUGAGACCCUCAGGGGUGAGGACUCAGAGUCUUUCAUUCUGAGGAUUCAUGGAGACAGGAUUGGCUGAGCAGAUGGUGAGUGGGGUUCCCUAAGACCUGAGCAGAAGAAUUUAGAGAAACAUCUCAUUUAAAGCAAGGUGGGACUGAAGAAACCUUCUGACUACAUUUGGCUGCCCAACAUGUUGGCUUGAAUUUCCACCUAAAACUUGAGAGAAUUUAAAAAGAAAUUCUAAAAUUGAGCUAAGAACAGCUUUCUACCUCAUGUUUCAUGCAGGCUGAGAUAUAGAGACACCAAGGUACAGAGAUGCUGUGGCAUGCGGACUUGAACUACAGUAUGGCCAGUUCAUGGUGUAUGGGCUUGAGUGCAGCAUGGCAGAUUCCUGCCAGGGUACACAGAGCUAUCUUCAACCCAUGAAGCACACUGCAUGAUGGAUUUAGCUUUUACUUAUACAGAUAAAAAGAGUUUAUGGGCCAGCUGCAUGCUCCCUGAUGGCAGCAUGGACCCCAGAGUUAGUGGGGUAACCGUGACUAUCCUGGGUACAUCCACCAUGUUGAAAAGCUCAGGUGGGUGGAGUCAGCAUCCAAGGCUGCUGGUCCUAGCCACACAGCUUAGCAGUUUAAAUCUCCUCUGGUCUAAGAAGGAUUAUAGAUUCACAAUGAGACAGAUUCAGAUGGAAUAAAACUCUAAACAAUUUACAGUGUGUGUAAAAAUGUACAUAGGCUUGGAAGAGAAAAGAAAAGGAGGAUAGACAGUUAUAUAAAGAAAUAUUUUUAAAAAAUAAAGUCUUUAAAGAGACAAUAAAAACAAUAUAAAACAUAAGCCACGUAAAGAUGGAAAUUACACAGAGAAUCUGGAUUAUAUUGUCUUCAGGAUUUUUAACUGCAGAAAUACAUUUGAUUAUAAAGGCUGCUGAGUUAAACCAAUAUAUAUAUUUUAAAGGUAUUUUGACUUCAAAAUUCGUGUUUAAGGAUCCCUUGCUUUGGAAAAGAGGUUCUGCUUUUGUUUCCACAGAAGAUGAGAACCUGUGGAUUGUUUCUAGGCUAAUAUGGCUUGACUAGCCAAGACCCCCUGAGAGGUUUCCAGAUGACCUAACAUCCAGAACAGCUUCAAAGCAACUAGCUCAGACAUACUCACAGACUACACCAGUCAGGACUUGACCAUAAUUAUUAAUUUUCUCAGUAUACCCAUGAGAUUACAGCACCCCCAACCAGCAGGAAGUAGUAUGAGAAGCUAUGUCCAAAUUCCCAAGAUAUUGUUUAUGAAUGUUUAUUUUUAUUUAAAGCAGUUUGAUUAUAAAUGCAAUCUCUUUUUAAGUCAUCCAUGAUAAUCAAACUUAUAGUCAUGUUAAUUUAAUUUCCUAGGUAUUCAUAGAUAUAUUUCAAUUAAGUAGGUAAUCUUCAAACACUUCAAAGACCUACAGAAUAUGGCAUUUAAAAUGUUUUAAAAACUUAGACUUUCUGGACAAUGAGACACGUCUGGUCCUGGCAGCACCAAUUUACUUCAGAGAGGAGGAUGGGCAUCAAAGACAGUCCAUAUGGAGUUUAUCUUCUUCUUGGCAAAAAUAGCCAUUUGGGCAAGAGGCUUCUCUUGCCUGACUGCUGAUAAUAUGUUGUAUAAACUGUACAUGCAGGACCCAUAGGAAAAUGAACACUGAAUUUGCCAAAAUGGGGCAAAAUGGUUCUUUAGGUUCCUGCUUUGCAGAGACUGCCAAAUAUUCUACAGGACACAGAGAGAAGUGACUGAAAAAAUGCUAGGCUUAUUAGCUGAAGAUGGAUGUCCCAACAUUACAGAGGAACUUUGGGUCCAGGCAGCCAGUUGUCUCUGUCAUUUCCAGAAUUUUUGGAAGCUGCUUACAAUGCACUUCUUGUUUAGUUAUGGAAUAUUAUAUCCUUCUGAAGUCUUCGAUGUAUUUGAAGACUAUAUAGUUAUAAUUAUGGUUUUCCUUGGUUAUGAUAAGAGAUAAGGUAGAUAUGAAACUUUAGACUCACAAAUAUAGGAUAGAUAGAAUAUUUUCUUUAAUUUUACAAAAUACAAACAGACUAGAUAUUGUAACAGUAAUUCUUGUUUGUUAUAUAUAAUUUUACUAUGUUAAAGUUAAAACCUUCCUUUUUAAUUAAACAGAAAAGGAAAAAUGCUGUGGGAUAAUGCUUUUGUGCACUGGUUUAAUAAAAUGCUGAUUGGCCAGUAGCCAGACAGGAAGUAUAGGUGGAAUAAGCAGACAAGGAGAAUUCUGAAAAGAGAAAGGCUGAGUCAGGAGACACCAGCUGCCAUCCAGGGAGCAGCAUGUAAUGGCACACAGGUAAAGCCAUGGAACACACGGCAACAUAUAGAUUAACAGAAAUGGGUUGAGUUUAAAUGUAAGAGCUAGUCAGUGGUAGGCCUGAGCUAAUGGCCAAGCAGUUUUAAUUAAUAUAAGCUUCUGUGUGCUUACUUGGGUCUGAGCAGCUGUGGACUGGGUGGGACACAGAAAAACUCCAGCUACAGCAGAUAUACCCAGUCUCUGUGAUCGAAAUUCCAAACACUGCAAUAUACAAGCCUCCGUGAUCCUGGAAGGGCUGACCUGAAUUGGGUUUUGCUCUUACAUUUGUUUUUUGCAUUUCCUUGUGUUAGAUGGAGUGCUGAAAACUUUGCUUGGGUGGCUUUCUCAAAAGAUGGUGCUUUUUGUGUUGUUUGGAAUAAGAAAGAGAAUUGUGGCAGCAACAGUCUUAAUCAUGCAAAUCAGAGUAAUGAGAAAUUAACAAAAAAUGGAGAAAGGAUUGAGAAUGAUAAUAAUAAUGUUGCUGAGAACUGAAAUGAUUUUGCGUUUUUAAAGGUAUAUUUAUCAUACAGCGAUCUUUUUUGAAUAAAUUGAAUAAGAAGUCAUUUUAUUUAUAAUAAUAUAUUUUCUUCCUAUAAGAAAUUUUAUAUGCAGACAUACAAAGUAUUUUGACAACAAUAGUAAAUUAACUUGUGCAUAGUUAUCUUGAACUAUAUAGAUUCAUGGAUGGUGAGACAUAAUCUUUGUGAAGCAAAUAAACUUAGAAGUGGGCUUUAGGGGUAUACACUAAACACAUAAUAUAUACUUGCAUUAAAUAUUCUUGUGUAACAUAGUACCAUAUACAAUGAAUACAUACAAUGUUCAAGUUUUCCUUCUGUCCCUUUGACAAAAUAGUCUAAUCAAAACCAACUUGGGUUCCAUGUCACAGCCUAUCAAUGAAGGAAGUUAGAGCAACAACACAAGCAGAAGCAGAGGCAGGAAUCAUGGAGGAAUGCUUCUUGCUGGCUUUUUCCUCAUGGCUUGCCCAGCUUGGUUUCUUAUAACACCCGGACUACCUCCUGCACAGUAGCACUACCCAUAGUGAGAUGCAGUCUUCCACAUCUAUCAUUAAUGAAGAAAAUGCCCCCACAGACUUGCUUACCCAUGGUCUAAUGGAAGUAAUCCCUCCAUUAAGGUUUCCUCUUCCCAGAUUAAUGUAGCUUGUGCCAAGUUAACAAAACAAACAAGCAAAAACCCAGUACAUAUAAUAUUUUUUUUAAUAAAUAAGAAGUGGAGAGAUAACUCAGUAAACUUUUUGUUGUAUGUGCAUGAUGGUGUAAUACCAAAAGUAGUGGUGCAGGCUUGGAAUCUCAGUACUGGAGAGAAGAAGAAGGCUGGCCCUUUGAGCCUUGACUGGAAACUAAUGCAACCUAAUAGUUGAGCCUAAGACAAGUGAGAGACCCUAUCUCCAAAACCAAAAUGCAUAGCUCCUGAGGAACAAGACCCAAAGUUGAUGUGUAGCCUCCACAAACAACAGCACACAUGCAUGCACUCAUAUGAAUAUAUGAAUAUGCACCUACCCACACACACAAAAAAUAAUAAAAUAAAAGAUAAAAUAAAAAUUAGAGCUGAGGAUGUAGUUUAGUGAUAAAACACUUGCCUACAAUACUCACGACCCUGGGGUUUGAUGCCUAGCACAGAAAAAAAUAUUAAAACUAAAAACAAUAAAUACCAGUAUAUGAAAAACAAAAUUCAAAACUAAUAGCACUUAAAAGUGGCUUUGAUGUUCUGUAUCAAAAAUGUAUUGGAAAUACUGACUAUAAAGAACAGAAGACAAGUUGAAGGCAGUCAUCAGUGGGAAUAUUUACUGUUCUUACAACUAUUGGUGUUGGGAAUAUUCAAUGAUAAUCUUUCUAAAUAUGAUCAUGCGCUAUGUGGAAUGUAUAAGUUGCAAAUCAAAAGUAUUUCAACUUGCCCGACAUAGGAUGUGCCUGU